UACGUAGGGUGCGAGCGUUAAUCGGAAUUACUGGGCGUAAAGCGUGCGCAGGCGGUUUUGUAAGCCAGAUGUGAAAUCCCCGGGCUUAACCUGGGAAUGGCAUUUGGGACUGCAAGGCUUGAGUGCGGCAGAGGAGACUGGAAUUCCCGGUGUAGCAGUGAAAUGCGUAGAUAUCGGGAGGAAUACCGAUGGCGAAGGCAGCUCGCUGGGACGGUACUGACGCUGAGGCGCGAAAGCGUGGGGAGCGAACAGG
rnacentral:rRNA from 1 species